AAAYGACUCUBGGCAACGGAUAUCUCGGCUCUCGCAUCGAUGAAGAACGUAGCGAAAUGCGAUACUUGGUGUGAAUUGCAGAAUCCCGUGAACCAUCGAGUCUUUGAACGCAAGUUGCGCCCGAAGCCUUHGGGCCGAGGGCACGUCUGCCUGGGCGUCACG
rnacentral:rRNA from 1 species